GCUUACGGCCACACCGCCCCCUGGUUCACGCCCGAUCUCGUUUGAUCUCGGAAGCUAAGAUAGGUUGGGCCUGGUUAGUACUUGGAUGGGAGACCCGCCUGGGAAUACCAGGUGCUGUAAGCU
rnacentral:rRNA from 1 species